CAUAUCACAGAAGGAAAAAAAAAGGGGGAACAGAGAAGAAGCAAAGGGAAACGAGAAACUGAGGAAAGGGAGAAGAGGGAUCAGGGAAGCACCACGAAGAACAGAGAGACGUGCACGAUCGACGGAGAAGGUAGCAUUGCCACCGUGCCUCAUCAUCAUCGCUGAAGCUCUCCUUGCCACUAUCAACGCCAUUUAGGGCAGAAGAGAAGAGGAAGAAUGACAGAGAAAAGAGAUUGGAGCUGCUACAGGAACGGCGGUUCCUGCUUCUAACCUCUGCUCUUUUGAUUUCUGGAGCUACCGUGGGUGGAGCUUGUCAUCAAAGGAAGCAAGCUGCCGCCACCAACUCUUAAUUAAGCCAGUAUCCUCCUCUUUGUUCUGAUUCAAAUUUUCCCAUUUUUGAAACCCCCCUUUUUGGCUCCUAUUCCCUGCUACAAUUAGGUUGAGUGUUGAAGUUGGUGCUGCCAUGGGACGGUUGAAGCUGUUACUGAUUCUGAAUUUGCUAUCUGGUUCUUGCUUUGUCUUGAAUCCCUAGAGCUGAAAUUGCUUUUGAUUCCUAUCCAAUUUGAAUCCUCUAUUUUACUGCAACCAUGGUCAGUGCUGCGAAGGCUAAUGUUGUUGCUGUUCCGGUUGUGGUUGCGUGAGAGUUACUGCUGCUGCCCUGAAACUAAAAGAGAAGAGAGUUGUUACGUUAAAGUAUGCGAUUGCGACAUCGAGGUAGAGGGUUUAAAACGAUUUCAAUUUAAGAAUGCCUACAAGGUUUAUUGAAUAACUACAAAUAGAUUUAAUAGAUGUGAGUAAUUGAUUGAUUAUGUGAAUAUUGAAUCGUGGCUAAAAUUGUGAUUGGAAUGGUUGAGAUUGUGAUUUGGAAUUGUUGAUUGGUGAUAUUGAUUGAUUAUGUAGAUUGGGAAUAGUUUGAUGACUUAUUGUUGAGAAUUACUAAAUUUUAAUGGGUCAUGUUGGAUUUGUUGCUGUUGAGCUAUUAUUUGGUAUAUUGUAAUGUUAAUGAGCUUGGUUGGUGGUUGAUUUGGAAUUGGUUUUGAGGGGUAUUGAAGAAUUGGAUUUUGAACACUAAAUGGUUUGCUGAAAAUCAGGUUCUCUUGAAAUUAAACGGCAACUUUGAAAGUGAAUCAGUGACUCUAUAAUGACUGAAAUGAUAAGCAUUUAAGUGUUAAUGAAAUUAUAUUAAGUGUAAUUGUGAAAACUCAAUUUUGAAGGUUUCGUAUCAACUAAAGAAUUAGUUAUGAUCUUUCAAAGUUGAAUUCUAAAAUCUGAUUUUCUGCAUAAUUUCUAAACUGAGUCAGCAACUUUGAAAAGCUAUAACUAAUUCUGUGAUUAUCGAAAUUGCGUGGAACCACGUCCGGAUUAAACUUGGGGAUACAAGGAACUAAACUGGUGAAUUUGAGACUUUUUUAUUAAGUUUAUGAUUUAUGGUGAAUUUUUGAAUUAGGGAUGUCAAAUCUGGUUUUUCUGCAGAACGUUUAACACAGUAGCAAUUUGUUUCCUCUAUUAAAAUUUCUGCAGCUUGAAUUUUGAAUUGGAACAAAUUUUAAAUGAAACUUUGGUCCUAAUACUUUAAUUUCAUAAAAAUUUAGAAUUGUUAGAGUUGUGGUU